CGAUGGGUGUUAAACGUCGGGAUUUAAUCUCGGUGUUGUAGUUAACACAUUAAACACCCUGCCUGGGUAGUACAUUCGCAAGAAUGAAACUCAAACGGAAUUGACGGGGACCCGCGCAAGUGGUGGAGCGUGUUGUUUAAUUCGACGAUACACGUAGAACCUUACCUAGACUUGACAUCCUUGGCGAAGUUAUAGAAAUAUAAUGGAGGUUAACCGAGAGACAGGUGGUGCAUGGUUGUCGUCAGCUCGUGUCGUGAGAUGUUGGGUUAAGUCCCGCAACGAGCGCAACCCUUAUCGUUAGUUAUUUUGUCUAACGAGACUGCCAACGCAAGUUGGAGGAAGGUGGGGAUGACGUCAAAUCAUCAUGCCCCUUAUGUCUAGGGCCACAAACGUGCUACAAUGGUCGGUACAAACAGUCGCUAAUUCGUAAGAUAGAGCUAAUCUGUAAAGCCGAUCUCAGUUCGGAUAGAGGGCUGAAAUUCGCCCUCUUGAAGUUGGAAUCACUAGUAAUCGCGAAUCAGCCAUGUCGCGGUGAAUACGUUCUCGGGUCUUGUACACACCGCCCGU
rnacentral:rRNA from 1 species